CCUACGGGAGGCAGCAGUAGGGAAUAUUGCUCAAUGGGGGAAACCCUGAAGCAGCAACGCCGCGUGGAGGAUGAAGGUUUUCGGAUUGUAAACUCCUUUUGUUAGAGAAGAAAAUGACGGUAUCUAAAGAAUAAGAACCGGCUAACUCCGUGCCAGCAGACGCGGUAAUACGGAGGGGGCAAGCGUUGCUCGGAACCACUGGGCGUCAAGCGCGCGUAGGCGGGAUAGCAAGUCAGAUGUGAAAUCCUCUGGCUGCACCCUAGAACUGCAGUUGAAACUGUUAUUCUAGAGUAUGGGAGAGGUAGGUUGAAUUCUUGGUGUCGGUGUCCAAUCCGUACAGAUCAAGAGGACUACUCAUUGC
rnacentral:rRNA from 1 species